GACCUGGUGGCGAGCGGUAUCGCGCCUACUCAACAUACGGAUAUAACAUUGUUCGGCGGGAGCUCCUGGUUCGAUUCCAGGCCAGGUCG